rnacentral:lncRNA from 1 species
GCGCCGAAAGCACGCCCGGUGAGGCUGUAUGUAUUGGACAGCGGGUCGUGUCCAGUCUCGCUCUGUGCCAGGGACUGCCCUUAAACAGGCUUCUACAUGUUUUAGCUCACGGAACAAGCCUGUGAGGUGGGGGCUGUUAUCCCUGUUGUAUAGGUGAAAAAACUGAGGCACCCUAGUGCGGGAUCAUAGGUAGCUGUUGAGUGGGUAGCAGCCAGGAUUUCAGCCCACGAAUCCUGGCUCCAGACCUCAUGCUCUUCAGUCCGUUAUGGAAGGCAGCCUCGCAGAACACAGCAACGGGUUCUCCUGAUUCAUUUCGAUUCGAGUUGGUCCUCCCAGUGUCAGCCUCGUUGUCGUCCUUGUGUGCUUUGGUGGCUUAAGAGAAGGCAGUGUGUUACAUCGGCGACUGCACCUGCGCAAGGUCCCAGCUGUACUCAAGGAGUCCGUCAGGAGUUAAGGAUCCUGAAGCAGUAG